rnacentral:lncRNA from 1 species
GAUCCAACAAUCAUAACCUCUAAACAAACAUCAGAUCUGGGAUAAAUCAGCCAUCAAAGUAGCUACCAAAGCUGUUCUUCACGAAGAACAGUUCGAGGUGCAUACUUUGGAUCUCUAUAACUUGAUGAUCGUGUAACUUUUAUGUGAUCUAUCAAUUCCAGUGUGUAGACAACAUGUAGGACUACAACUAUAACACUUAACAUCAUCAUAACAACAAGAAAUAAAGCAGAUAAAGUAUGGUCAAACCUUGUAAGAAAAAUCAACACUUAGAAAAUUCUGGGCUGCCCAGAAUUUUCUGGUCAAUGCCGGUCAACCCACUUUGACCUUAAAUAACUCUUAAUCCGUAAUAUAUAUGGACCUGAUUCUUUUUGGAGGUUAAAUACCACAUAACAAGCUACACAUAUCAACCUUUAGAACACAAAACACAUUAAAGAUGACCGAGAUAUAAGGCCUGACAUUUGCCAAAAAAAAAU